CAGUUGUUCCUGUCAUUUUGAAAGCACUAACAUACGAUGAGAAGAGAGGGGCCUGCAGCGUGGGCUCCAACGUGAGAGACGCAGCGUGCUACGUGUGCUGGGCCUUCGCUCGCGCCUAUGAGCCCUCCGAACUGAUCCCAUUUAUUAAUCAGAUUUCAAGUGCGUUGGUCAUCGCUGCAGUAUUUGAUCGCGAUGUUAACUGCCGAAGAGCUGCUUCUGCUGCCUUCCAGGAGAAUGUCGGGCGACAGGGCACUUUUCCACAUGGCAUAGACAUCCUCACUGCAGCCGAUUAUUUUGCUGUGGGUAACAGAGCUAACUGCUACCUU